rnacentral:misc_RNA from 1 species
AUCCUGCAGCCCAGAGUAGCAAUUUUUUUAUUUAGCGACACGAGGAGUUAGAAGGAGGCGUGCCGGCGAAAAUGGCAGCCCCUGGAACAACUACAGCCGACUGGGAGUUUGACAAAUUUGAUGAUGGAUCUUUAAAAAUAGUUGGAGAACUACAGCUGAAGAAAUAUGGUAAUUUUCUUGAGGACUAUGCGUCACAGCUAAAGGAUAUUGAAGAUGCUUUGGACGACUCAAUAGGUGAUUCCUGGGACAUGACACUUGACCCUAUAGCUCUCCAGUUUCUGCCGUACGAACAAACCAGCUUGCUUCAGCUGAUUAGAACAGACAACAAGAUCUUCAACAAGAUCAUCACAGUUCUAGCUUCCUUGUGUUCUGAAAUGGACACCUUGAAACACGAAGCAGAGACCAAGUUCUUUAAUGCCUUGUUGUUCUAUGGGGAAGGAGAACCUGAGACAGGCCUAGAAGAUGGAGAUGCGCAGGUGCAGAUGGGGAAGGUCAUCCCAUUGCUUCAGGAGCUGCACUGUUUUGUAACACGUUCGUAUGAAGUCGUCAAGAAUGUGGUCCAGCAGUUUGCCAGCCUCUACAGCAAUACCAGGAGUGGGCCCAAACUGAUAGAUGUGACUGAUGUCCACUUUCAGGUUGUGUUUGCCCACCUGGCUGACAUGCUGGGCAUCCUCAUCACGCUGGAUGAGAUCAUCGAGAACCAUGCAAGUCUCAAGGAUCACUGGACACUCUACAAGAGAAUGGUGAAAUCUGUUCGUCACAAUCCCGCCAAGUUUAACACAACAGAUGAGAAGCUGCGGCCAUUUGAGAAACUCAUGAUGAUGCUUGAAGGCAGACUUCUCGAUGGCUUCAUCUUCCAGAACUGUGUGGAGCAGGUGUUUGAUGACCACCGUGUCAACGUCUCCAAGAACAGUGCAUUUGCCGAGGAGUUUGCCGUCAACAUCCGGGAUUAUGUCAUGGAGCUUGAGAGCAGGAUGGGUGAGGUGAACGAGAUAGAUCAGCGGUACAGAUUUGUGGGGGCCUGUGGUCUCUAUGUGCUCCAUUUCCAGAUAUUCCGAGUCUUGGACAAGAAGCUGUUUAAAGCCCUCUGGGAUAUCUACAAGAAGGUGCCCUGCAUCCAUCUGAUUGGCAACGUGGUGUGGUUUCCUAAUAACUUCCUCACAACCAAGAUGCCCAACCUCGCCCAGCUGUUGGACCGCAAGGCCCAGUCGGCCGUCGGCCCCUCCCAGACUGCCUGGCUCACGGCACGGACACAGAUGCUCACCAACAGACACAGGGACAUCCAGACGUACAGCACGCAGGUGUCGGCGUGGAUGGUCAGGAUGGAGUCGAACCUGUCCCGUGGGGCCACCCUCAUCGAGGACCUCAACAACAGAGCAGUUCUCUUCAUUCAGGGCCUGCUGUACGCCUAUAACCUGAGUCACCUUGUCAGGACUGUCAUGAACCUGCACGUAGCCCUACAGAAACCCAUGACCAAGACAGCAGUGCUCUCCCUUUGUCGACUCGUGGAGCUGCUGAAGGCUAUAGAACAUACGUUCCAUCGGCGCACAAUGCUGAUCGCGGAGUCCAUGAACCAUGUGAUUCAGCACCUCAGUUUCCUGGCUCUCAGUGCUAUCGGGACAGCCAAGAAAAGGAUCACCUCUGACAAGCGAUACAGUGAGAGGAGACUGGACGUCCUGUCAGCUCUCGUGCUCGCCGAGUCAGCCCUCAACGGACCAGGUACCAAAGAAAGGAGACUGAUUGCUAAACUGGCCCUUGCUGUGGGCACAAAGAUGAAAUCCUUCAAGGAUGAUGAGAUGAAUGGUUUGUCGGAGACAAUGAGGAAACUGGAAGUCAUCAGUGAAUUGAGAGAAAAAUUACGGGGAGCGUGUGACUGCAGCUUCAUCUACUGGCACAGAGUCAUCUUCCCGCUGUACCUCACGGAUGUGUGUGACAAUGUCACCGACACACACCGGAUACACUACAUGUUCGGAGCUAUGCGGGACUGUGUGUUGCCGAUGCAGAAAGUCCGUCACCUCAAUUCACCUCAAGACCUCCUGGACUCGUUUGACAAGGAGGUGACACUGCAGGUUCAGGAGCAUCUGAUUGACCCUCUAUGUCGUGCCAUCGAGACUGACCUCCGACUGCAGAUUCACCUUCACCUUCAGCUCGAUGAUCGCAACCCGUUCAAAGUCGGGAUGAAGGACCUGUCGCAUCUCCUCAAGAUCAGACCCAUCCGCUUCUUCCAGAGGGACAUCAACAUCAAAGCAACUGUGGAGCACUACCUGAACAGAACCUUCUACAACCUGACGACUGUGGCACUCCACGACUGGAAGACAUACGGCGAGAUGCGCAACAUGGCCGAACAAAAGUAUAACUUGUCCUUGAUGGAGUCUCAUCUCCCCAGUCAGACUCUAGAACAGGGUCUAGAUGUGCUUGAAAUCAUGAGGAACAUCCAUGUGUUUGUGUCCAAGUAUCUCUACAAUCUCAACAACCAGAUAUUUGUGGAGAGGACAAGCAACAACAAACAUCUGAACACCAUCAACAUCCGGCACAUAGCCAACUCUAUACGGACACAUGGCAUUGGCAUCAUGAACACUACUGUCAAUUUCACGUACCAGUUCCUUCGCAAGAAAUUCUUCAUCUUCUCUCAGUUCAUGUAUGAUGAACACAUUAAAUCCAGACUGAUCAAAGACUGGAAGUUUUUCAAGGAAAAUCAUAUGCAGACUGAUCAAAAGUACCCAUUUGAGCGAGCAGACAAGUUCAACAAGGGAAUCCGGAAGUUGGGCCUGACACCUGAUGGAGAGAGUUACCUAGACCAGUUCCGCACCCUCAUCACACAGAUAGGCAAUGCUAUGGGCUACAUCAGGAUGAUCCGUUCUGGGGGCCUGCAUUGCUGCAGCAACGCCAUCAGGUUCAUCCCUGACAUCGAGGACAUCGUCAACUUCGAGGAGCUGUGUAAGGAGGAAGGCCUGUCUGCUGAGUGCCAGGCAGCAGCCAAGAACUUGGACAAUGUGAUUGGGAACCUUGCCAAGAACUUUGCUGAAGGAACUGAGUACUUCAAGAUGCUGGUGGACGUGUUUGCUCCAGAGUUCCGGAACACAAAGAACAUGCAUCUGAGGAACUUCUUCGUGAUUCUGCCCCCACUGACUGUGAACUUUGUGGAGCACUCCAUCAGCUGCAAGGAGAAGAUGAACAGGAAGAACAAGGACAUGGCGGCCUUCACGGACGACGGCUUCGCCAUGGGUGUUGCCUAUAUCCUGAAGCUGUUGGACCAGUAUCAUGAGUUUGACUCCCUCCACUGGUUCCAGUCCGUCAGAGAUAAACACCUCACGGAGAAGAGGCAGGUGUCGCAGCAGACAGGCAGCCGUGGUGACGAGAAGCUGCAGCAGACCAUGAGUCUAACGGUCAAGAGACUGGACCAGUCCCUUCAGGAGUUUGACCUGCUCCACUACUCACUCAGCAGCGCACGGAUCUUUUUCCGUGCCGAUCUGACGGCUGCCGAGGAGAAGGCGGAGAAAGACAAAGCUGGACCCGACACACCGUCAGCCAAUGGAGACGGGGCGAGUGGUUCAGCCAAUCAGACGUCAGCAUCUGCCUCUUCAGCUUCAUGAUACUGAUGGAAGGUAAGAGUUGCUCUCUCUCUGCAUGACUGUAACCAUGACUUUCUCUCUGUGGUGAGAGACUCUCUCAUGACUUUCUCUCUGUGGUGAGAGACUCUUUCAUGACUUUCUCUCUGUGGUGAGAGACUCUCUCAUGACUUUCUCUCUGUGGUGAGAGACUCUCUCAUGACUUUCUCUUUGUGGUGUGAGACUUUCUCAUGACUUUCUCUUUGUGGUGUGACACUCUCUCAUGACUCUCUGUGGUGUGAGACUCUCUCAUGACUUUCUCUCUGUGGUGUGAGACUCUCUCAUGACUUUCUCUUUGUGGUGUGACACUCUCUCAUGACUCUCUGUGGUGAGAGACUCUCUCAUGACUUUCUCUCUGCUUUGUGGGGUGAGACUGUGUCUAUGAAAGAUGUCUGUGAUUGACAAUUGCUCGCUGUGCAGUUUUUUCAUAACAACUCACUAGCUGUAAAAAUGUAGGGCUUUAGUUGGCUGUAUGUUAACAUAGGGCUUGUGUCUUCUGAACACCACUGGAGGGCUGUAUGCUAACAUUGGGCUUGUGUCUUCUGAACACCACUGGAGGGCUUUAUGCUAACAUAGGGCUUGUGUCUUCUGAACACCACUGGAGGGUUGUAUGCUAACAUAGGGCUUGUGUCUUCUGAACACCACUGGAGGGCUUUAUGCUAACAUAGGGCUUGUGUCUUCUGAACAUCACUGGAGGGCUGUAUGCUAACAUAGGGCUUGUGUCUUCUGAACAUCACUGGAGGGCUGUAUGCUAACAUAGGGCUUGUGUCUUCUGAACAUCACUGGAGGGCUGUAUGCUAACAUAGGGCUUGUGUCUUCGGAACACCACUGGAGGGUUUUAUGCUAACAUAGGGCUUGUGUCUUCUGAACAUCACUGGAGGGCUGUAUGGUAACAUAGGGCUUGUGUCUUCUGAACACCAAUGGAGGGUUGUAUGGUAACAUAGGGCUUGUGUCUUCUGAACACCACUGGAGGGCUGUAUGCUAACAUAGGGAUUGUGUCUUCUGAACACCACUGGAGGGUUGUAUGCUAACAUAGGGCUUGUGUCUUCUGAACACCAAUGGAGGGCUGUAUGCUAACAUUGGGCGUGUGUCUUCUGAACACCACUGGAGGGCUGUAUGCUAACAUAGGGCUUGUGUCUUCUGAACACCACUGGAGGGCUGUAUGCUAACAUUGGUUGUGUGUCGUCUGAACACCAAUGGAGGGCUGUAUGCUAACAUAGGGCUUGUGUCUUCUGAACACCACUGGAGGGUUGUAUGCUAACAUAGGGCUUGUGUCUUCUGAACACCACUGGAGGGCUUUAUGCUAACAUAGGGCUUGUGUCUUCUGAACAUCACUGGAGGGCUGUAUGCUAACAUAGGGCUUGUGUCUUCUGAACAUCACUGGAGGGCUUUAUGCUAACAUAGGGCUUGUGUCUUCUGAACAUCACUGGAGGGCUUUAUGCUAACAUAGGGCUUGUGUCUUCUGAACAUCACUGGAGGGUUGUAUGCUAACAUAGGGCUUGUGUCUUCUGAACAUCACUGGAGGGAUGUAUGCUAACAUAGGGCUUGUGUCUUCUGAACAUCACUGGAGGGCUUUAUGCUAACAUAGGGCUUGUGUCUUCUGAACAUCACUGGAGGGCUUUAUGCUAACAUAGGGCUUGUGUCUUCUGAACAUCACUGGAGGGCUUUAUGUUAACAUAGGGCUUGUGUCUUCUGAACAUCACUGGAGGGCUUUAUACUAACAUAGGGCUUCUGUCUUCUGAACACCACUGGAGGGCUUUAUGCUAACAUAGGGCUUGUGUCUUCUGAACAUCACUGGAGGGCUGUAUGCUAACAUAGGGCUUGUGUCUUCGGAACACCACUGGAGGGUUUUAUGCUAACAUAGGGCUUGUGUCUUCUGAACAUCACUGAAGGGCUGUAUGCUAACAUAGGGCUUGUGUCUUCUGAACACCGCUGGAGGGUUGUAUGCUAACAUAGGGCUUGUGUCUUCUGAACACCACUGGAGGGUUGUAUGCUAACAUUGGUUGUGUGUCUUCUGAACGUCACUGGAGGGCUGUAUGCUAACAUAGGGCUUGUGUCUUCGGAACACCACUGGAGGGUUUUAUGCUAACAUAGGGCUUGUGUCUUCUGAACAUCACUGAAGGGCUGUAUGCUAACAUAGGGCUUGUGUCUUCUGAACACCACUGGAGGGUUGUAUGCUAACAUAGGGCUUGUGUCUUCUGAAUACCAAUGGAGGGCUGUAUGCUAACAUAGGGCUUGUGUCUUCUGAAUACCAAUGGAGGGCUUUAUGCUAACAUAGGGCUUGUGUCUUCUGAAUACCACUGGAGGGCUGUAUGCUAACAUAGGGCUUGUGUCUUCUGAAUACCACUGGAGGGCUGUAUGCUAAUAUGGGGCUUGUGUCUUCUGAACACCACUGGAGGGCUUUAUGCUAACAUAGGGCUUGUGUCUUCGGAACACCAAUGGAGGGCUGUAUGCUAACAUUGGUUGUGUGUCGUCUGAACACCAAUGGAGGGCUGUAUGGUAACAUAGGGCUUGUGUCUUCUAAACACCAAUGGAGGGCUGUAUGGUAACAUAGGGCUUGUGUCUUCUGAACAUCACUGGAGGGCUUUAUGCUAACAUAGGGCUUGUGUCUUCUGAACAUCACUGGAGGGCUGUAUGCUAACAUAGGGCUUGUGUCUUCUGAACACCACUGGAGGGCUGUAUGGUAACAUAGGGCUUGUGUCGUCUGAACACCACUGGAGGGCUGUAUGGUAACAUAGGGCUUGUGUCUUCUGAACACCACUGGAGGGCUGUAUGCUAACAUAGGGCUUGUGUCUUCUGAACACCACUGGAGGGCUGUAUGGUAACAUAGGGCUUGUGUCUUCUGAACACCACUGGAGGGCUGUAUGCUAACAUAGGGCUUGUGUCUUCUGAACACCACUGGAGGGCUGUAUGGUAACAUAGGGCUUGUGUCGUCUGAACACCAAUGGAGGGCUGUAUGGUAACAUAGGGCUUGUGUCUUCUGAACACCACUGGAGGGCUGUUAGCUAACAUAGGGCUUGUGUCUUCUGAACACCACUGGAGGGCUGUAUGCUAACAUUGGUUGUGUGUCUUCUGAACACCAAUGGAGGGCUGUAUGCUAACAUUGGUUGUGUCUUCUAAACACCAAUGGAGGGCUGUAUGCUAACAUAGGGCUUGUGUCUUUUGAACACCACUGGAGGGCUUUAUGCUAACAUUGGUUGUGUGUCUUCUGAACACCACUGGAGGGCUGUAUGCUAACAUAGGGCUUGUGUCUUCUGAACACCACUGGAGGGUUGUAUGCUAACAUUGGUUGUGUGUCUUCUGAACACCACUGGAGGGUUGUAUGCUAACAUAGGGCUUGUGUCUUCUGAACACCACUGGAGGGCUGUAUGCUAACAUAGGGCUUGUGUCUUCGGAAUACCACUGGAGGGCUUUAUGCUAACAUAGGGCUUGUGUCUUCUGAAUACCACUGGAGGGCUGUAUGCUAACAUAGGGCUUGUGUCUUCUGAAUAUCACUGGAGGGUUGUAUGCUAAUAUGGGGCUUGUGUCUUCUGAACACCACUGGAGGGCUUUAUGCUAACAUUAUGCUUGUGUCUUCAGAACACCAAUGGAGGGCUGUAUGCUAACAUUGGUUGUGUGUCUUCUGAACACCAAUGGAGGGCUGUAUGGUACCAUAGGGCUUGUGUCUUCUAAACACCAAUGGAGGGCUGUAUGGUAACAUAGGGCUUGUGUCUUCUGAACACCACUGGAGGGCUGUAUGCUAACAUAGGGCUUGUGUCUUCUGAACACCACUGGAGGGUUGUAUGCUAACAUUGGUUGUGUGUCUUCUGAACACCACUGGAGGGUUGUAUGCUAACAUAGGGCUUGUGUCUUUUGAACACCACUGGACGGUUGUAUGCUAACAUAGGGCUUGUGUCUUCUGAACGCCAAUGGAGAGCUGUAUGCUAACAUAGGGCUUGUGUCUUCUGAACACCACUGGAGGGUUGUAUGCUAACAUAGGGCUUGUGUCUUCUGAACACCACUGGAGGGCCGUAUGCUAACAUAGGGCUUGUGUCUUCAGAACACCAAUGGAGGGCUGUAUGCUAACAUUGGUUGUGUGUCGUCUGAACACCAAUGGAGGGCUUUAUGCUAACAUAGGGCUUGUGUCUUCUGAACACCAAUGGAGGGCUGUAUGCUAACAUUGGUUGUGUGUCUUCUGAACACCAAUGAAGGGUUGUAUGCUAACAUAGGGCUUGUGUCUUCUGAACACCAAUGGAGGGCUGUAUGGUAACAUAGGGCUUAUGUCUUCUGAACACCACUGGAGGGCUGUAUGCUAAC